GGAGUUUAUUUGCAUUCCAGAGCCAGGCUAACGGAGGGAGUUUGUGCUCCGUGCGAUAAUGCAGGGCUCUCAGGAGAAAAACCUGCAGGAUCCCGGCGGAGGAAACGCUCACUCACACCCGGCGGACCCCUGAGAGGACAGGCCCACCAGUCCCCCGUGCCGAGCGAGGGGAGAGGAGGUGCUACCUAGGGGCGGAGGAAGAAGCCAAAGGACAGGCCCUGGGAGAACGGCGAUGUGGAAGAACAAGGCAGAAUCAACACGGGGCCCCUCAGAGGACGUUGAGUCUUCGGCCCCGCCUCCCCUCACCACAUUCCCAUCGCUAAAUAAAGUCACAAUUGUCUGUGUACUGCAUCUGGACCCUUCCGGUGUCAACGCGAUCCAACCCCGCAGCACAGGUCAGGGUGCACGAGCCGGGGGCGAGGAGGAACCAGCCCGGGAGCGAUGGGCGCGGCGGCUCGUAGGGCGCGGCGACUGGAAGGAAGCCACGUCCCAGCCCUUCUGCUGUGGCUGGUGUCGGGAAAGCCGUGCCCUGCGGCAGCGGAUGUCUCGGGUUUCUCCCGCCUCCGGCGCUCCCACCCAGCGGAACCUGCCCCUGGCGAGCCGCGCCCCCGAAGGGACCAGGACUUAAGGCUUAAGCAAGCCUUGCUUCACGUAAUUUCUGCUGAAUGCCUGCUUGACACACGGGAGGACUUGAUACAUUUUAACUGUUGCUAUUCUUUUUCUUUAGGUAUGCCCACUUGCUACAGUGAUGUGAGGCACAGGCUUUGGUUUAAAAAGUCCUGGGUUUAGGGGCACCUGGGUGGCUCAGUGGGUUAAAACCUCUGCCUUCGGCUCAGGUCAUGAUCUCAGGGUCCUGGGAUAGAGCCCUCCAUCGGCUCUCUGCUCAGCGGGGAGCCUGCUUCCCCUUCUUUCUCUUUGCCUGCCUCUCUGCCUACUUGUGAUCUCUGUCAAAUAAAUAAAUAAAAAUCUUUUUUAAAAAAUAA